GUUAACCCUUUGGGAUCCGAGACCGUGGGUCAGCUGUAUAAUAGGAGCCCUGAGGAACCAGUUAUGAAUCAGAGUGUGCUUUAUCCCAGCCACAGCAUGCAAAGGGUUACACUGCACACACUACAGGGGCUGUGGUUGGGGAGAGGAGCGAGUUUCCUUGCCCUUCCUGCCUGGGAGCACUUAUCCUUUAUCUGGCAGCAAGAUACUGGAAAUUCCCCUUCCACCUUUAAAAUAGAAGACAAGGGUGUUUGCUGUGGGAAUUAGAACUGGGUAGUAUUUAUGGAGCACAUUGGAAUUCUUUCAGGGUAAGUGUUAGAAGAACACAAGUUAUUUCUUUUAUUCUUAAACUAUGUUCCUGUCAUCAAUAACUCUCCAAGCGUAGCCUUUCUUAUUAAAACGCUCAGUGCUGUAAAUCACUGAAUAAUCAAGGGCUUUGCCAUGAGGGAGGAGUCAAGAUCAAGCAAAAAAAAAAAAAUCAGCCUCUGAUUAAAUUACCUUUGUCCCCCAUUUCCCAUCACAGGUUAUGGUGUACUGCCUGCUGGACACAAAGUGAGAGGGGAGAGGGGAGAUGGAAAGGACAGGAUGAAUGUGAGGACGUGUUAUUUCAGGAGGUGGUGCUGCAGGUCAACUGAUGAGAUGAAUGAACCAUGGUUACUCAGACUUGGCUGUUUGGCAGUAAUUUUCUUGAAAAUGAGUGAAGUGAGCCUGUCACUUCAAGGAAAACAACUUGACAGAAUUGAACCCAGGCCCUCGACAGUGAAAGUGCAGAGUCCUAACCACUGAACUGCCAGAGAAUUCCCAUAUUUGGU